rnacentral:rRNA from 1 species
UACGGAGGGUGCAAGCGUUAAUCGGAAUUACUGGGCGUAAAGCGUACGUAGGCGGUGCGGUAAGUCAGGGGUUAAAGGCUGCAGCUCAACUGCAGUAAGGCCUUUGAUACUAUCGUGCUAGAGUGUCAGAGAGGAUGGCGGAAUUCCCGGUGUAGCGGUGAAAUGCGUAGAUAUCGGGAGGAAGGCCUGUGGCGAAGGCGGCCCUCUGGGCCUGCACUGACACUGAGGCGCGAAAGCGUGGGGAGCAAACAGG